UACGUAGGCAGCAAGCGUUGUCCGGAUUUACUGGGCGUAAAGAGCGCGCAGGCGGUCGGAUCAGUCGAAUGUGAAAGCCCCCGGCUCAACUGGGGAGGGUCAUUCGAUACUGUCCGACUCGAAGGCAGGAGAGGGAAGCGGAAUUCCCGGUGUAGUGGUGAAAUGCGUAGAUAUCGGGAGGAACACCAGUGGCGAAGGCGGCUUUCUGGCCUGUUCUUGACGCUGAGGCGCGAAAGCUAGGGGAGCGAACGGG
rnacentral:rRNA from 1 species